UGGGGAAUCUUGCACAAUGGGGGAAACCCUGAUGCAGCGACGCCGCGUGAACGAUGAAGCCCUUCGGGGUGUAAAGUUCUUUCGACAGGAACGAUAAUGACGGUACCUGGAGAAGAAGCUGCGGCUAACUACGUGCCAGCAGCCGCGGUAAUACGUAGGCAGCGAGCGUUGUUCGGAGUUACUGGGCGUAAAGAGUAUGUAGGCGGUUAUUCAAGUCUAGUGUGAAAUCUCCCGGCUUAACUGGGAGGGUGCGCUGGAUACUGGAUGGCUUGAGCAUGGGAGAGGAAAGCGGAAUUUCUGGUGUAGCGGUGAAAUGCGUAGAUAUCAGAAGGAACACCUGCGGUGAAGACAGCUUUCUGGACCAUAGCUGACGCUGAGAUACGAAAGCGUGGGUAGCAAACA
rnacentral:rRNA from 1 species